GGAGACAAAGCUCAGUUGGUAGAGUCCUUGUCUAGCAUGCAUGAGACUCUGGGUUCGAUCCCCAGCACCA
rnacentral:tRNA from 1 species